rnacentral:lncRNA from 1 species
UCUCCAUGGUCGAGUCAUUAUUGUGUUACUUCACGGUCACACUACACACACGUGCGCUGUUUGGCCUGGCUCCGCUUGCAUAUUCAAAUCAUGGUGGAGCAUGGCGUGCGUGCAAGAUGGUGCAAUAAUGUUAUAUUAUUUUAUUAUUUUAUUUUAAAAUUUUGUUGAUUAUUUUAAAUUGCUGCUGUCGUAGCGGUCAAUUGACCAUUGGAUCAGACGG